GGGGGUGAACAGGUAUCGACGGAAAUGAUGAAUGUAAUGGCAGCAGGUCGGAGUUAGUCGAUGGCUCCGUAAAAAAUCGACUAAAAAUAAAUGGCAACAAUAAAAUUGCUUCAAUGCAAAACAUUAAUUAUUUUGGCGCAAUGUCAAUGGCAGCAUAAUUAGUACUUUAUUUUAAGCAUUCAUGACAUAAGAUGUAUAAGGGGUGUUAUUUAGGCGUAUUUGUAACAUUAGCUUUAAAAUUGUUAGUUAAAUUUGUGGUGUAUUUUUGUUUGGAAAAAGACAUCAUAAAACUAUAAAAUAUCUUCCAAACUAAACCUGUAGUGGCUUUACUGAAGCAUUUUCGGACGCGGGUUCAAUUCCCGCCACCUCCACUG
rnacentral:tmRNA from 1 species